rnacentral:rRNA from 1 species
UACGUAGGGUGCGAGCGUUAAUCGGAAUUACUGGGCGUAAAGCGUGCGCAGGCGGUUUUGUAAGCCAGAUGUGAAAUCCCCGGGCUUAACCUGGGAAUGGCAUUUGGGACUGCAAGGCUCGAGUGCGGCAGAGGAGACUGGAAUUCCUGGUGUAGCAGUGAAAUGCGUAGAUAUCAGGAGGAACACCGAGGGCGAAGGCAGGUCUCUGGGCUGACACUGACGCUCAUGCACGAAAGCGUGGGGAGCAAACAGG